rnacentral:tRNA from 1 species
GGGAAUGUGGCUCAGUGGUAGAGUGUUUGCCUAGCAUGCAAGCAUGCAUGAGGCCCUGGGUUUAAUCCCCACAUCACCA